rnacentral:rRNA from 1 species
GAUGAACGCUAGCGACAGGCUUAACACAUGCAAGUCGAGGGGCAGCAUAAAAGUAGCAAUACUUUGGUGGCGACGGGCGCACGGGUGAGUAACGCGUAUGCAACCUACCUAUCAGAGGGGAAUAACCCGGCGAAAGUCGGACUAAUACCGCAUAAAACAGGGGCACCGCAUGGUGAUAUUUGUUAAAGAAAUUCGCUGAUAGAUGGGCAUGCGUUCCAUUAGGUAGUUGGUGAGGUAACGGCUCACCAAGCCGACGAUGGAUAGGGGAACUGAGAGGUUGGUCCCCCACACUGGUACUGAGACACGGACCAGACUCCUACGGGAGGCAGCAGUGAGGAAUAUUGGUCAAUGGGCGGGAGCCUGAACCAGCCAAGUCGCGUGAAGGAAGAAGGAUCUAUGGUUCGUAAACUUCUUUUGCAGGGGAAUAAAGUGCAGGACGUGUCCUGUUUUGUAUGUACCCUGAGAAUAAGGAUCGGCUAACUCCGUGCCAGCAGCCGCGGUAAAGUAGUCG